rnacentral:rRNA from 1 species
AGAGUUUGAUCAUGGCUCAGAAUGAACGUUGGCGGCGUGGAUUAGGCAUGCAAGUCGAGCGACAAGGUCCUUCGGGACUGGAGGAGCGGCAAACGGGGUAGUAAGGCAUCGGAAUGUACCCUCUGGUCGGGGAUAGCGGCGGGAAACUGCCGGUAAUACCCGAUAAUCUCUAGCGAGCAAAGGUCUGCCGCCGGAGGAGCAGCCGAUGUGGUAUCAGGUAGUUGGCGGGGUAACGGCCCACCAAGCCAUAGACGCCUAGGGGGUGUGAGAGCAUGGCCCCCACCACUGGGACUGAGAUACUGCCCAGACACCUACGGGUGGCCGCAGUCGAGAAUCUUCGGCAAUGGGCGCAAGCCUGACCGAGCGACGCCGCGUGCGGGAUGAAGGCCCUUGGGUUGUAAACCGCUGUCAGGGGGGAUCAAGGCGUAAGCUUGAGAGAGCCCCAGAGGAAGCACGGGCUAAGUUCGUGCCAGCAGCCGCGGUAAUACGAACUGUGCGAACGUUAUUCGGAAUCACUGGGCUUACAGGGUGCGUAGGCGGCCUUCCAAGUCAGGUGUGAAAUCCCACAGCUCAACUGUGGAACUGCGCUUGAAACUGGAUGGCUGGAGUCAGCUAGAGGUUUGCGGAACUUCCGGUGGAGCGGUGAAAUGUGUUGAUAUCGGAAGGAACACCAGAGGCGAAAGC